rnacentral:rRNA from 1 species
ACGACUGAGGGCUUUGGGUCACCUCCCACCCAUGUUUAUUUUACCUUGUUGCUUCGGCGGGCCCGCCUUAACUGGCCGCCGGGGGGCUUACGCCCCCGGGCCCGCGCCCGCCGAAGACACCCUCGAACUCUGUCUGAAGAUUGUAGUCUGAGUGAAAAUAUAAAUUAUUUAAAACUUUCAACAACGGAUCUCUUGGUUCCGGCAUCGAUGAAGAACGCAGCGAAAUGCGAUACGUAAUGUGAAUUGCAAAUUCAGUGAAUCAUCGAGUCUUUGAACGCACAUUGCGCCCCCUGGUAUUCCGGGGGGCAUGCCUGUCCGAGCGUCAUUGCUGCCCUCAAGCCCGGCUUGUGUGUUGGGCCCCGUCCUCCGAUUCCGGGGGACGGGCCCGAAAGGCAGCGGCGGCACCGCGUCCGGUCCUCGAGCGUAUGGGGCUUUGUCACCCGCUCUGUAGGCCCGGCCGGCGCUUGCCGAUCAACCCAAAUUUUUAUCCAGGUUGACCUCGGAUCAGGUAGGGAUACCCGCUGAACUUAAGCAUAUCA